AGCGAACGCUGGCGGCAGGCUUAACACAUGCAAGUCGAACGGGCGUAGCAAUACGUCAGUGGCAGACGGGUGAGUAACGCGUGGGAACGUACCUUUUGGUUCGGAACAACACAGGGAAACUUGUGCUAAUACCGGAUAAGCCCCUUACGGGGAAAGAUUUAUCGCCGAAAGAUCGGCCCGCGUCUGAUUAGCUAGUUGGUGAGGUAACGGCUCACCAAGGCGACGAUCAGUAGCUGGUCUGAGAGGAUGAUCAGCCACAUUGGGACUGAGACACGGCCCAAACUCCUACGGGAGGCAGCAGUGGGGAAUAUUGGACAAUGGGCGCAAGCCUGAUCCAGCCAUGCCGCGUGAGUGAUGAAGGCCCUAGGGU
rnacentral:rRNA from 1 species